CGCGUAGGCGGCUUGGUCAGUCGGAUGUGAAAGCCCCGGGCUUAACCUGGGAAUUGCAUUCGAUACUGCUGGGCUAGAGUGUAGUAGAGGGAAGCGGAAUUCCAGGUGUAGCGGUGAAAUGCGUAGAUAUCUGGAGGAACAUCAGUGGCGAAGGCGGCUUCCUGGACUAACACUGACGCUGAGGUGCGAAAGCGUGGGGAGCAAACA
rnacentral:rRNA from 1 species